rnacentral:rRNA from 1 species
CAUCGUUGCCCCAAUGCCUUAGCCUUGUGCUAGGCACUGAGCGGGGCGAAUGUUGGCUUCCCGCGAGCAAAGCCUCACGGUUGGUUGAAAGUUGAGUUUGUGGUGGAGGGCGCCGCGAUGGAUGGUGGUUGAGUAAAAUCUCGAGACCGAUCGUGCGUGUCACCCCCACCGGCUUUGGGACUCUGUGACCCAUGAGCUCCGUUGGUCGCCCAUAACGGGA